rnacentral:rRNA from 1 species
UGCCUACGGGGGGCAGCAGUGAGGAAUAUUGGUCAAUGGGCGAGAGCCUGAACCAGCCAAGUCGCGUGAGGGAAGACGGUCCUAUGGAUUGUAAACCUCUUUUGCCGGGGAGCAAAAAGCGGUACGUGUACCGCAUCGAGAGUACCCGGAGAAAAAGCAUCGGCUAACUCCGUGCCAGCAGCCGCGGUAAUACGGAGGAUGCGAGCGUUAUCCGGAUUUAUUGGGUUUAAAGGGUGCGCAGGCGGCGAGUUAAGUCAGCGGUAAAAUUUCGGGGCUCAACCUCUUCGAGCCGUUGAAACUGGUUU